UGCCAGCCGCCGCGGUAAUACGUAGGGUGCAAGCGUUGUCCGGAUUUAUUGGGUUUAAAGGGUGCGUAGGUGGCUAAUUAAGUCAUGGGUGAAAGCCCACAGCUCAACUGUGGAACUGCCUGUGAAACUGCUUAGCUUGAGUGUGGUUGAGGUAGCUGGAAUUUGUGAUGUAGCGGUGAAAUGCAUAGAUAUCACAAGGAACACCAAUUGCGAAGGCAGGCUACUAAGCCGCAACUGACACUGAGGCACGAAAGCGUGGGUAGCGAACAGGAUUAGAUA
rnacentral:rRNA from 1 species